CCCGGGGCCACGGCGGAGGCCACGGCGGAGACAUGUCGAGCCGCGCCGUGUGCCGCCACUUCAUGCUCAAGGGCAGCUGCAGGUACGAGAACAACUGUGCCUUCUACCACCCCGGCGUCAACGGGCCCC